AUUAGAUCUCAAAUCAGGUAGGACUACCCGCUGAACUUAAGCAUAUCAAUAAGCGGAGGAAAAGAAACUAACAAGGAUUCCCCUAGUAGCGGCGAGCGAAGCGGGAAGAGCUCAAAUUUAUAAUCUGGCACCUUCGGUGUCCGAGUUGUAAUCUCUAGAAAUGUUUUCCGCGUUGGACCGCACACAAGUCUGUUGGAAUACAGCGGCAUAGUGGUGAGACCCCCGUAUAUGGUGCGGACGCCCAGCGCUUUGUGAUACAUUUUCGAAGAGUCGAGUUGUUUGGGAAUGCAGCUCAAAUUGGGUGGUAAAUUCCAUCUAAAGCUAAAUAUUGGCGAGAGACCGAUAGCGAACAAGUACCGUGAGGGAAAGAUGAAAAGCACUUUGGAAAGAGAGUUAACAGUACGUGAAAUUGUUGGAAGGGAAACGCUUGAAGUCAGACUUGCUUGCCGAGCAAUCGGUUUGCAGGCCAGCAUCAGUUUUCCGGGAUGGAUAAUGGUAGAGAGAAGGUAGCAGUUUCGGCUGUGUUAUAGCUCUCUGCUGGAUACAUCUUGGGGGACUGAGGAACGCAGUGUGCCUUUGGCGGGGGUUUCGACCUCUUCACACUUAGGAUGCUGGUGGAAUGGCUUUAAACGACCCGUCUU
rnacentral:rRNA from 1 species